GAUGAACGCUGGCGGCGUGCCUAAUACAUGCAAGUCGAGCGAACGGACGAGAAGCUUGCUUCUCUGAUGUUAGCGGCGGACGGGUGAGUAACACGUGGAUAACCUACCUAUAAGACUGGGAUAACUUCGGGAAACCGUAGCUAAUACCGGAUAAUAUUUUGAACCGCAUGGUUCAAAAGUGAAAGACGGUCUUGCUGUCACUUAUAGAUGGAUCCGCGCUGCAUUAGCUAGUUGGUAAGGUAACGGCUUACCAAGGCAACGAUGCAUAGCCGACCUGAGAGGGUGAUCGCCCACCCUGGAACUGAGACGCGGUCCAGACUCCUACGGGAGGCAGCAGUAGGGAAUCUUCCGCAAUGGGCGAAAGCCUGACGGAGCAACGCCGCGUGAGUGAUGAAGGUCUUCGGAUCGUAAAACUCUGUUAUUAGGGAAGAACAUAUGUGUAAGUAACUGUGCACAUCUUGACGGUACCUAAUCAGAAAGCCACGGCUAACUACGUG
rnacentral:rRNA from 1 species